CCGUAUGAAUGAACAAAGAAACUGGUUUCUUGAGAUAGAAGCUACUCCUGAUGAAGAUGCUGUGAA
rnacentral:pre_miRNA from 1 species